AUUGAACGCUGGCGGCAGGCCUAACACAUGCAAGUCGAGCGGAGCGGCGGACGGGUGAGUAAUGCCUAGGAAUCUGCCUGGCCUUUAAGGAUAACGUACGGAAACGGGCGCUAAUACCGCAUAAUAUUCGAUGACCCUAGGUCGUGUUAGCUAGUUGGUGGGGUAAAGGCCUACCAAGGCGACGAUCCGGAGCUGGUCUGAGAGGAUGAUCAGCCACACGGGAACUGAGACACGGUCCAGACGCCUACGGGAGGCAGCAGUGGGGAAUAUUGGACAAUGGGCGAAAGCCUGAUCCAGCCAUGCCGCGUGUGUGAAGAAGGUCUUCGGAUUGUAAAGCACUUUAAGUUGGGAGGCGUUACCUACAGAAUAAGCCCCGGCUAACUUCGUGCCAGCAGCCGCGGUAAUAC
rnacentral:rRNA from 1 species